rnacentral:rRNA from 1 species
AUUGAACGCUGGCGGCAUGCCUUACACAUGCAAGUCGAACGGCAGCACGGGAGCAAUCCUGGUGGCGAGUGGCGAACGGGUGAGUAAAGUAUCGGAACGUGCCCAGUCGUGGGGGAUAACGUAGCGAAAGUUACGCUAAUACCGCAUACGAUCUAUGGAUGAAAGCGGGGGAUCGCAAGACCUCUCGCGAUUGGAGCGGCCGAUAUCAGAUUAGGUAAUUGGUGGGGUAAAGGCUCACCAAGCCGACGAUCUGUAGCUGGUCUGAGAGGACGACCAGCCACACUGGGACUGAGACACGGCCCAGACUCCUACGGGAGGCAGCAGUGGGGAAUUUUGGACAAUGGGCGAAAGCCUGAUCCAGCCAUGCCGCGUGCAGGAUGAAGGCCUUCGGGUUGUAAACUGCUUUUGUACGGAACGAAAAGGUUUGGCCUAAUAAGCUGAGCUCAUGACGGUACCGUAAGAAUAAGCACCGGCUAACUACGUGCCAGCAGCCGCAGUAA